GACGAACGCUGGCGGCGUGCCUAAUACAUGCAAGUAGGACGCACAGUUUAUACCGUAGCUUGCUACACCAUAGACUGUGAGUUGCGAACGGGUGAGUAACGCGUAGGUAACCUACCUAUUAGAGGGGGAUAACUAUUGGAAACGAUAGCUAAUACCGCAUAACAGUAUGUAGCACAUGUUAGAUGCUUGAAAGAUGCAAUUGCAUCGCUAGUAGAUGGACCUGCGUUGUAUUAGCUAGUAGGUAGGGUAAAGGCCUACCUAGGCAACGAUACAUAGCCGACCUGAGAGGGUGAUCGGCCACACUGGGACUGAGACACGGCCCAGACUCCUACGGGAGGCAGCAGUAGGGAAUCUUCGGCAAUGGGGGGAACCCUGACCGAGCAACGCCGCGUGAGUGAAGAAGGUUUUCGGAUCGUAAAGCUCUGUUGUUAAGGAAGAACGAGCGUGAGAAUGGAAAGUUCAUGCUGUGACG
rnacentral:rRNA from 1 species